AACGAACGCUGGCGGCGCGCCUAACACAUGCAAGUCGAACGAGAAUCCGGGGCAACUCGGUAGUAAAGUGGCAAACGGGUGAGGAAUACAUGGGUAACCUACCCUUGAGAAGGGAAUAACCCGCCGAAAGGUGAGCUAAUACCCUAUACGCUUUGUUCUUCAUGGAAAGCAAAGGAAAGUCAAGCCGAGGGCUUGGCACUCAAGGAGGGGCUCAUGUCCUAUCAGCUUGUUGGUGGGGUAACGGCCUACCAAGGCUACGACGGGUAGCUGGUCUGAGAGGAUGAUCAGCCACACUGGCACUGAGAUACGGGCCAGACUCCUACGGGAGGCAGCAGUGAGGAAUAUUGCGCAAUGGGCGAAAGCCUGACGCAGCGACGCCGCGUGGGGGAUGAAGGUUUUCGGAUUGUAAACCCCUUUUGUGAGGAAAGAUAAAGUGGGUAACCACUUAGACGGUACCUCAAGAAAAAGCCACGGCUAACUUCGUGCCAGCAGCCGCGGUAAUACGAAGGUGGCGAGCGUUGUUCGGAUUUACUGGGCGUAAAGAGCACGUAGGCGGUUGGGUAUUCCUCUUGGGAAAUCUCCCGGCUUAACCGGGAAAGGUCGAGGGGAACUACUCAGC
rnacentral:rRNA from 1 species